rnacentral:rRNA from 1 species
GAGUUUGAUCUGGCUCAGAACGAACGCUGGCGGCAGGCUUAACACAUGCAAGUUGAACGCGUGUAGCAAUACACGAGUGGCGCACGGGUGAGUAACGCGUGGGAAUAUGCCCUUCAGUACGGAAUAACGUCGGGAAACUGACGCUAAUACCGUAUAAUGUCUACGGACCAAAGAUUUAUCGCUGAAGGAUCAGCCCGCGUUGGAUUAGCUAGUUGGUGAGGUAACGGCUCACCAAGGCGAUGAUCCAUAGCUGGUCUGAGAGGAUGAUCAGCCACACUGGGACUGAGACACGGCCCAGACUCCUACGGGAGGCAGCAGUGAGGAAUAUUGGACAAUGGGGGCAACCCUGAUCCAGCCAUGCCGCGUGAGUGAUGAAGGCCCUCGGGUUGUAAAGCUCUUUUAUCCCUGAAGAU